rnacentral:lncRNA from 1 species
CAGUAAAUGUUUAUUAAAUAAAUGAAUGGAUGGGAAAGUAACAGUUUGCCAACCUGGCUGUUAACACUUGCUUUGAGGGGAGGGGAUGUGGGGAGAGCGGGGGAGGGAAAGAAGCAGAGUGGUGGAAGCCGAGAAGGGUAAAGCCCUCAUUUAACCCUCUCAGUGACCCAGAGAGGUGGGUGGUGUAACCCCCAGUUCACAGCGCAUGAAACAGGCUCAGCGAUUGCUUUCCGUCUCCUGAGACGGCUGUCAGGUGGAGGAGCAGGACCCCAAUCUGUGUGCGGCUCCGAAGCCUGUCCUGUGGGUCAGUGGCUGUCCACUGGAACCACCUGACGUUCAGACCCCAUCCCGGCCAGACUUCCCAGGGGUUCUAGCGUCCGGCUUGUUGAGAACCACUGCCAUGGGCCCUGCUGUUUCUUCCAUCUGCAGAAAGGCCAGUUGCCGCGCUGUGAAUUCCUGUUGCAUCAGCAGCGAGGCUAAUUAGCUCCGCGGCUCCUGAAUAAUAAUGGCUGCAUUCACAGAGAGGCGUCUGCAUGCAGGAGCCAUGCACACAUGCAAACCUUGAAGCUGCGCAAGAUGCACAGCCAGCGGCACAGGAUCCCCCAGCGUGGCCAUUUAUAUGAGCUGAAGGUGCUGGUGCAUCAGUGGUGGGCGGCGAGGGGUCUGGGCUACCUGCUGGUGCAGCUUGCUGGUUAACUCGAGUCCUGCUCACGCUCAGUCCAGGAUGUAUCCACUUUCUGACUUGGUGGGUCUGACAGAUCCAGCUCAUGAUGGGCAGUUCUGGGUGCAUGACCCCUCGGUGUCUCAUGGCAGGGUGCUCUGUCUCUACCAGUGCCGGGAGCACACCACAGCCUGU